GAUAUACCAAACCCUCCGUCCGAAAUUACUUGUCGAAGAAAUGGAUGUAUCUAGACAUAUUUUAGUUCUGGAUACAUCCAUUUUUUCAUUUGUGCAACAAGUAAUUGAGGACGGAUGGAGUACUUA
rnacentral:pre_miRNA from 1 species